CUGCACUGAAACGAGCUGAAAAAGUAGAUUCUUUGAAUUUCAGAAUGCAAGGAGUUGACCCCAGAGAUAAAAGAGUCGACUCUGGCACAUUGGAAUAGCACUAGCGUGGAGGCCAGUCAACUCCUAUGGUAGACGAGCCGACUCGGUCUCAAAAGAUAAAGAACCAUUUUUUCGAUCCUGUGGGCGAGCUGACUUGUCAGGACUUCAAGUUGACUUGCGGGUGAUUGGGGUCGACCCCAAUGGAAAUGAAGUCGACUCCAAGCACGGGACAGGCUAUAAUGGCUAGUAUUUUCUGUACUUCUUCAAUGAUCAUUUUUUCAUCCUAAUGGCUAGUUCAAGCCCUCCAACAGUCCAAACUUCUUCUCCAGCCAUUGUCAAGCCUAUUAAAAAGUAAAAAAUCAAUUGGAAAGAAGCUAAGAGUAUUUGAAAGAGAAAUCAUUAUUUCUUAGAG
rnacentral:lncRNA from 1 species